UCACGCAUAGGUUUGAGAGUGAUGUUGGUUGUUGACAGAAGAUAGAGAGCACUAAGGAUGACAUGCAAGUACAUAUACAUAUAUAUCAUCACACCGCAUGUGGAUGUUAAAAUAUGUAUAACAAAUUCAAGAAAGAAAGAGAGAAAGAGAGGGAGAGGGAGAGAAAGAGCCUGCAUCUUAUCUUUUGUGCUCUCUAUACUUCUGUCACCACCUUUAUUUCUUCUUCUCUCUUACCUAUAUAUGCACACAUUCACAUUUAUGCAUAAUACUACAUAUGGGUACAUAUCACAUAGGUGAUUUAUGUUUAGUGAACAUUUACUUAAUUUGUUGCCAUAUGUCAUGUCGUGGUGUUAUAACCAAUGUUGUAAUAUAUAACAUUUCCAAUACUUAAUUGUCUAAUGCAGUUUGUUUUUGAGAUUCAAAUAGUUUCAUCAUUAUUUCCAACAGUACAUUGCAUUGUGAAAUUUUCUUACAACUAAAUUUUCUUAUACUUCCUUUAAUUCGUUUGGCAGGAGUUUCAAGAAGCUUCGGUGACAUGGAAACAACAACAAACACGAUGGCGCUGUCAAACAUGAUGGUCUUAACCAGGUCUUCUUAAGAGUGAGGCAAUGGCAAAUUUGUCUCCCUAGUCGUUCAGGGCAUUCAAGAGCAAGCAGCACCUACAAGGCCAAGAUGUCCUCCCUUUCCGCAUCAGCUAUGUUCUCAGAACCUAGCUGUUGACUCGUUUUCAGAAUCAAUCAUGUUGGCUCAUUUCCCACGGCCUUGGAAUUUCUCUUGGCAUUAGAAGAAGAGUUGGAAUUCUUGUCCAUAGUAUAAGGUUUCAUCAAUAGAGUUAUCAAUUGUUAUGUGCACUGAGAGCCUAUGUUUCUCUAGUUGUGUAAGGGUUGAGCAUUAGUUAAGUUUUAGUCUCUAUGGACUUUAUUCAGAUCCUGGAAACAAAACAAGAACAAAACUUGUAAAAACUAAGGAGGCCUGCUAAUAGUCUAAGGGGGGUGUAUUCAACUUGACAUUUUAAGUGA